UCAGCACGUGCCCUUUAGCGACCUCUGUCGGGGACCAAGGAAAUAACAUCCAACAUACCCACUGCUGCAGGCUCCUCCACAAACCCUGAGCUGGAUCAACAAUGUACCCAAACUGCGGGAGUGUGGAGAAGCCUUUGAAACAACAUUAGGCCAUUAACUGAAUGAAGAAAAUGAGAAAAUGUCACACUUUUGGUGGCUACUUGAGCAUUUCUUAGGGAGCUGGAGUUGCACUGGAGGAGUCAAAAACCUGGCACUGGCCCAUGUGACUAUCAUCAGCAGGUAUAGAGACUGGAUGGAUGGAUGAAGAACAAUGUGCUAUCAUUUAAAAUCAUCAUAUGAGAUUUAUUUCUUAGAAAAAGAGGAAACCCAUUCCCUUUGAAUAUCUUUUGUGGCUGAAAACAAAACCUCCCGGGUGUCUGCAACCACGAAACAUACAGAUUAACAGGCUGCAAAUCUGCAUGUGGGUGGGGGUGAGGUGGUGCUGGAGCUUUCCCUCCCCUCUGGUCUUCAACAUCUCAAUCACGUCUCCCGGGCCCCGCCCCAUUGUAUUAGCCCCCAGAAAGUGAUGGAAAUCCUUUCACUGGCUGCCUGACCUCUAGUAAUCCUGUUUCACAGACCAGCUCCCUGCUGAAACCAACACAAUGGCAGGCGCUCAGCCUCCUCCCAGUCGAUAUUCCAACAGACUUGAUCGAGCAAAUUAGUAUCCUUUGGUAAGGGCAUGACCAAAGACCUUUUCAGCACCCUACCAGAAUCAAUAAAGAGCAGUGAACAGCAUGUCUCUUUCUUUUUUGUCCUUUUACAUCGCUUCCUUGCCACUGUGUGUGACUUCUAUCCAGGGUUCAAGCUCCUGUGUGUGUUUCCUACAAACUGCCUUCACUACUGGGUGGAGAUCAAAGGUUAAAAUGGCUGACGGUCUAGGGAAAACUUCAGAUGCUGCUUCAAAGUAGAGGGAGUAUGAGGACCUGAAGCCGUGGAUGCCAGCCAUUAUUAACCACCUGUACUCGACUCAACAGCUUCCACUUCUAAUACAGAUCCAGAUGUGAUGGAGGCAAAGGGGCAAAGCAUGGCAAACCAUGUUCAGGACAUGCAUGAACAUGGCACUCCUGCAAAGCCAUUGAAAACAGGUCCAACAUACAGUUACAUCCAGGAACUGAUGGAAGUCCUUUUUGAACAGGCUUUUGACUACCCUACACUAUAUGCUGAGGAUGUGCCAAGGACCUCCCAAGGAUGAAGUCAUCGCUGGCUAUGCGUCCCACUUCAGUGGAGGGGCGAUCUAAAUCCAACAUCAGCAUCAGGGAACUCUUGCCGUACAUUUAGUGUGCUUAAUAGAUCUCAAAGGAUGCCAACAGCAAAAGCUGAAAGUAUGGCUGUUUUGAAGAAGCACACCUGUCAUUAAAAUAAAUCCUAAAAUAACAGUUGUCUAUUGUUUUUGACUAUUUUACGAUGUGACCUUUAACAAGCAAGGCAUGUAGGUUAUAAAGCAGAUUCUAGCACAGAGGUAUGUACUGUACGUGUGCAUUGUUGCACUUGGCCUAUUCCUGAGUGUAUGGUGAAUGCCACUGGGUCAGA